rfam:Geothermobacter sp. EPR-M contig_28, whole genome shotgun sequence.
CGAAGAGGGACAGGUGAUCGCCGGCCCGCUGUCAUGGCGGGCGGGAGGAAAGUCCGGGCUCCGCAGGGCAGGAUGGUUCCUAACGGGAACCGGGGGUGACCCCAGGGAAAGUGCCACAGAGAGAAGACCGCCACUGAAACGCUUCGGCGGAGACGUGGUAAGGGUGAAAGGGUGAGGUAAGAGCUCACCAGGUCCGGCGGUGACGUCGGAUGCUCGGUAAACCCCAUCCGGAGCAAGGCCGAAUAGGGGAGUGUUUGAGGGCGGCCCGUCCGAGACUCCCGGGUAGGCUGCUUGAGGCCGUCGGCAACGGCGGUCCUAGAUGAAUGAUCACCACCCCGCCGGGGGUAACCGCGGUGGGGGACAGGACCCGGCUUAUGGCCCUCUUCGGCCA